AGUGGUAGAAAAGUUAGCAGAUGUUCCAGGAUGGUUUCUGCUCCCCUGGAUUCCUGGUUGACCUGCAGAAACGUCCUGCCAUUGCCGCACCGCGCUGUUAGAAUAUCACGCCAAGUUUGAAGCUCCUUGUUUGUUAAAAUUAAUAUUUGAGGCUCAUAAUGUCGACUUCAGAGGAGAAGUUGGUGAACAUCCCACAAUCAAAGGAAGUGUGUCCCCGACCUGUUUCCUCUCUCACCUUUCUACUCCCCUAAUUGCCCACCUGUGGGCGUCCUAAUUAGCCCUGGUGUUAAUCAGGAAGAGGAGCUCACUGGAGACCGAGAAGGCUGGGCGAGAAAGCAGACAGCACAGAAGAAGAAAGAGGGCUGUGCUGCAGAAUCAAGAUGUGAAGCGACGGCUGCAUGCAGAGAACCCAGCCUCACCUUUAUCCCGGACAUGAAAGAGGGCGUCCGACUGAUGUUUGUGGCCGUCAGAGUCAGACUGGAGCGGCUGACAGCUGCGCCGUUGCUCCGCGUUGCAUCAGGCCUUGGCUUCGUUGGACGCCGGCGGGUUGCUGCAGACUUGCAGAUGGAUUGAAAUGAGAUCCGUGGACUGAUUGUUUGUGUUGCAGAACCGCAGGCGGUGUGUAAACAGGGUGCUGAAGAAGCUGGAAUCCUUGUUUCACUUCGUUAAUUAAAGACGAUGGAGAACCGGAUCACAACUUCCUGCUAGAGAGCAGAAAGUUCUCAGCUCAAAGUAGCAAACGUUUUUCUGGUGUGAUGGGAUGUUGAUGCUGUUUACAGGGAGCAUUGGUGAUGUCAUGCUAACAGCAAUUAGCCAGAGAUCAGAAAUAAAGCUAACACAAAGACAGAUUCAUACCACAUAAUUCCUAGUUUCUCUCCCAGUUCAGAAGCUGUUAUGCUUCUGAACUGGCAUUGUUGACUGUGUUAACUAGCUAAUGCUAACAUGCUAUUCCUGUUUUAGCUCUGUUAGAAUUAGCAAACAUAUUUCUAUCUGCUCACUAACUAGGAGUAAGAUUUUGUUGAGAUCAUUUGUGUCUGAACUUUGACUUCCUUCGAUGUUUCCAAAAGUGCACCAGUCCCUCCUGAAGCAUAUCCCCCCUCACAGCAUGAUGCUGCCACUACUGUACAUUACAGUUGGGAUGGUAAGCAUCCCAGUUUUUCCUCCAAAUGUAAUAAACCUUUUAUGUCCAAACAGUUCAUUUUGCUUUCAUCAGACCUCCAAACUCUUUGAUCUGAGUCCGUCCCCAAACUGUAAUCUGACUUUUUUUGUUUUCGCGUUGUGUAUCUUCAGUGUUCUGUGUUUUUAAUCCAGCUAGUUCAUUCAAAACGUGCAAAUAAAUGGAGCAAAAUUCACAUCUUUCUGAAUUUUCCCCAUAAUUUGAAACACUAAGAUGUGAAAUUAUAGUUUUGCCUUUAUUGCUGCUCAACUUUGUGUUAACUGUUUUCUUGUUAAAUUGAAACCUACGCACCUG